rnacentral:lncRNA from 1 species
AAGUUUGCCCCAUGCCUGACUCACUCUAGUAUGGACCACUUUUAAGAAUAUCUCCCAAAAACUGUUUGGGAAAAGUAAGUAUAUUAUUUAUUAUCUAACUGAACUAUUGUCACUAUUUUUAUUUUUACUAUGUUAUCGUAUAUAAUUAUGUUUUUAUUUUGGUGUAUUUUUGUCUUCUGAUGACGUGUAUUAAGUAUGUAUUUUAUUUCGUUCUAUUAUAAUUAUCCGAGCUUGGCCCCAUGUUAGCCGCCCCAAGUUCCUUUGGGGAUACAAAAAUAAAGUUAUUAUUAUUAUUAUUAUUAUUAAUUUUCCAUGCUUUCUUGCUUUCUGUCCCUUAUUAUUAACACGAAAAUAAUGGAACUAGUAUAGCUGUGGUUCAUUUCGGUGAUUUAUUUUCACUUAUCUAUACGUUGUAAAGUCACCUUUAAGUCAUGGGAGUUGUAGCAUUGCAAGGUCUUGAGCCUUUUCUGCCAAACUACGUUACGCCAUGGCCAUGAAAGUGUUAUCAAACUGGAUUAAUUGUACAAUGCGGAUGCAUUAAACGAACGCCAAGAGAGCUUCGGAAAAUACCGCCUGAUUCGAUUCCUCUCCUUAGUUUGAAUUUGCAAAAAAUUUGAAAGCUUUAGACUAUUUUAUUGUUUGCAUGCAAUGACAAAUAAGACAGGAAAUAAGGGUUUUAAUUUUAAUUAAUAAGUCAUUAUUAAAGCCACUUCUAAGCUGAAUACGGACAGAAAGAGUUAUGUCCAAUUUAUAAUUUCUUGGUUAGAAAAUGAUCAGAACACAUAGAGCAUUUCUCCCCAAAAAGCCAUCAGCAACACAUUAAAUUAAAACUACAGUAGAGUCUCACUUAUCCAACGUUCUGGAUUAUCCAACGCAUAUUUGUAGGCAAUGUUUUCAAUAUAUCGUGAUAUUUUGGUGCUAAAUUCAUAAAUACAGUAAUUACAACGUAACAUUACUGCGUAUUGAACUGUCAAAUUUGUUGUAUAACAUAAUGUUUUGGUGCUUAAUUUGUAAAAUCAUAACCUAAUUUAAUGUUUAAUAGGC